rnacentral:ribozyme from 9 species
UGUGUUUCCAUUCCCUAUUUGUUUCUUUUUGUUUUUUUGUUUUCUUGAAAUAUGCCACGCAAGUUUACGACAAGAGGGAGUCA